AACGUAGGAGACAAACGUUAUCCGGAGUUACUGGGCGUAAAGGGCGUGUAGGUGGUAGUGUAAGUCUGGCGUGAAAUUUUUCGGCUUAACCGGGAAAGGUCGUCGGAUACUGCACAACUAGAGGACGGUAGAGGCGUGUGGAAUUCCGGGUGUAGUGGUGAAAUGCGUAGAGAUCCGGAGGAACACCAGUGGCGAAGGCGACACGCUGGGCCGUACCUGACACUGAUGCGCGGCAGCAUGGGGAGCAAACAGG
rnacentral:rRNA from 1 species